CGGGGCGUAGCGCAGCUUGGUAGCGCACUUGCAUGGGGUGCAAGGGGUCGGAUGUUCAAAUCAUCUCGCCCCGACCA
rnacentral:tRNA from 1 species